ACCCUCUCAGGGUCGCACCUGGAGAGUUUCCAGUACUCUACCGGUCUCGACUACGGGAGGGAAAGUCAAGCACAGGCCUGCCCUUUCCAUUGCUAGCUUGGUCAGCGGCUAGCGAGUGGAAGGCAACCUGCCUCGAGU
rnacentral:snoRNA from 1 species